CUGCGAUACUUUUUUAAGAUUCCAGAGAACACUGUUUGCAGUAGAUGCAUGCUGAGAGAUUCAUGCAAGUUUGCGGAUCAAAGUGUUUGGCGGACUGAUAGCAACAAUUUGGAUCUGGCUAUGGCAAUGAAGGUCAUUUGCUCU